AUUUGUUGUUUAAAGAAUUGCAUUUGUUAUCAUUCCUCUUUUGGUAACAAUGAAAAUGAUGAUAAAUUAUUUCAAGUUGACGAUGAAGGCGAUGAAUUUGAAGAGGAUGACAUAGAUGACAAAUUUGAAGAGGACAACGUAGAUGCUAAAUAUGAAGAACACACACUUGAAUGAUUUAGAUGAUGAUUUUAGA